rnacentral:misc_RNA from 1 species
AAUCAUCGCUGCUGCUAUCGGAAUUAAGAGUAUUUAAAGGCUUUUUAAAAACAAAGGAUUCUAUAGGAGGAGGUGCAGCUGAUUUAUGCCUAUGCUUAUUAGGCGGUGUCGUUUUGAGAACGCGCGACGGCUUGAAAGAGUGGUUGUCCCACUCGUCGUCGGAGAUUUCGUCGAAAGCGCGCUUCAUUCUUCCAUCAAUAUACAGAGAGAAAGAGAAAUCGAAAAGCAAGAUAAGAAUAGCAGUAGGAAUAACAGUAUAAAUUAGGUUAAAGAGGAAGAGGAGUCGCUCAUAACAGAGAAUCCAAGGGUGCUAAGAGGAACGGAGGCAGCGCCAUUUGUAAU